GAUGAAGAACGCAGUGAAAUGCGAUAAGUAAUGUGAAUUGCAGAAUUCAGUGAAUCAUCGAAUCUUUGAACGCGCAUUGCGCCCGCUAGUAUUCUGGCGGGCAUGCCUGUCCGAGCGUCAUUUCAACCCUCAAGCCCCCGGGCUUGGUGUUGGGGAUCGGCGAGCCUCCGCGCCCGCCGUCCCCUAAAUCUAGUGGCGGUCUCGCUGUAGCUUCCUCUGCGUAGUAGCACACCUCGCACUGGGAAACAGCGCGGCCACGCCGUUAAACCCCCAACUUCUGAACGUUUGACCUCGGAUCAGGUAGGAAUACCCGCUGAACUUAAGCAUAUCAAUAAGCGGAGGA
rnacentral:misc_RNA from 1 species